GCUAUGUAUUUUUUUUGUGUUACGUAAAUGAAAAGAAAAGCAUAGUGUUUUUAUGCAUAUGAUAAUAUAUAUGCUUAUUUCAAAUUGAUCGGCAAACUGGUUCCUAUCUCUUUGGCCAUAUUUUUUCUUUAUAACUUUAAAUGCUAGAUCUCAAACUAACCAGCCGAGAAUUACUCUUUUAAACACCCCAUCGAUCCCUUUUAAAAAUCUCAUAACCUUUGCUUGUGAAUCUGAGUUUCUUUCCAAGCUUGUGCCACCCAAUGGAAGUCCAUCGCUGUCGCCAAAUUCCGUUGUUCGAUUCCUCCGAUCCGCAACCUGGUACCAUGUUAUUAUCAUCUUCUUAGCCAUAUUUCUGUUCAUACCAAGUUGCUUAGUCUUUAUUUGUUUAAUCACUAGUUGUAUUCCGACGACUUCGACAACGGUCACCAACGGACGACCGCCACUUCCUGUUAUAAUCGCCGCCACCAUUGGUCCGGGAUCCUACCAGUUCACAGCCACGCUACGUGUACCGGCAGCCGUAAAUCAUAAACUAUCCCUUUCGCUCGCUUUAGUUCAGUUCCGUGUGACCAUCCGAAGUGCUAACGGUGCGUCUCCGGCUAACUCCGUUUGAUUGAUAAGGUACUAGAUCGAACCCGCAUCCUAAUUUAAAGUGUUUAUACGAAUUCCAGUUCAUUCCAAUGGUUCCGUCGACUAAGGUUUUUAAAAUUGGAAGUUGUUUAUGAUCGGAUUAACUUUGUACUGUGUUGCGUAAGUGUGUGACUGUCGCAAAACUCACGAUCCAUAAUAUUUGAAAGAGAAAACAGAAAUUUAAUGGUGAUAUAUCACUAAAUAUUAUGGGGGAGUGCAUGGGGGUAUUGUAUACUGUGUCAUUCAUGGUGUAUACAUAGU
rnacentral:lncRNA from 1 species